AGAUGACUCUCGGCAACGGAUAUCUUGGUCCUCGCAUCGAUGAAGAACGUAGCGAAAUGCGAUACUUGNUGUGAAUUGCAGAAUCCCGUGAACCAUCGAGUUUUUGAACGCAAGUUGCGCCCUAAGCUUCCGGGCCGAGGGCAAGCCUGCGUGGGCGUCAAGU
rnacentral:rRNA from 1 species